rnacentral:tRNA from 1 species
GCCCUCGUAGCUCAGUAGAAAGAGCAGCUUCGUCCUAAGAAGAUGGUCGCAGGUGCAACUCCUGCCGGGGGCA